rnacentral:rRNA from 1 species
GACGAACGCUGGCGGCGUGCUUAACACAUGCAAGUCGAACGGAAAGGCCCUGCUUUUGUGGGGUGCUCGAGUGGCGAACGGGUGAGUAACACGUGAGUAACCUGCCCUUGACUUUGGGAUAACUUCAGGGAACUGGGGCUAAUACCGGAUAGGAGCUCCUGCUGCAUGGUGGGGGUUGGAAAGUUUCGGCGGUUGGGGAUGGACUCGCGGCUUAUCAGCUUGUUGGUGGGGUAGUGGCUUACCAAGGCCUUGACGGGUAGCCGGCCUGAGAGGGUGACCGGCCACAUUGGGACUGAGAUACGGCCCAGACUCCUACGGGAGGCAGCAGUGGGGAAUAUUGCACAAUGGGCGGAAGCCUGAUGCAGCAACGCCGCGUGCGGGAUGACGGCCUUCGGGUUGUAAACCGCUUUCGCCUGUGACGAAGCGUGAGUGACGGUAAUGGGUAAAGAAGCACCGGCUAACUACGUG